ensembl:lncRNA
CCCGGAGAGUGAAUCGACCACGGCAGUUGGUACAGCACGAAAGCACUCGUGGCUCGCUGCGUAACAGCUGCAGAGUGCUCUAAAUUUUAAUUGAUCUCGCUGAGGUAUUUUAAGUCGACUGCUUUUACGUGAUUCAUCGAUCUCGCUGACGGUUUUAAGCUUAUCGUUUUAUGGUAUGUAUGAUUGACUCUUAAUAUGUCGUAUAUUGGGUAUGCCUUUUAUCUUCCAGAAGCAGUAUAGAUCCUUGUCCACUUCUUCUAUGGUCUCAUUACCCCCUUUCGCUAUUCUAUUUUUGGGGUUGGCUCCGCCCCUGCCAGUCCCGGCAGGACAUGCCGAGUUAUCUCCUACUUCUGGCGAAGGCCUACGUCCUCUCUUUUGGGGAAGGCUCCGCCCCUGCUAGUCCUGGCAGGAUACGCCGAGUCCGCACGUCACCCUGGAUCAGUGACGAGGCUCAUGCCAAAGAUUUACCAUGCAAAAUAUUCCCAUGUCGUUAUUUAAAUAAAUCCUGUUCAUACUUAUCGGUGAUCGAGUCUUAAUGGGAGAACAUAAAGAAGCUGGCAGCGUUUUUGGCCCUAAAAGCGCCGAGAGCGUUUUUUCUAUCGCCUAUCAACAAAUCCAUUCUAGACCCGACGUUACUCGCCUACUACGUAUCCAGGCUAGAGCCCAUUAGACAUGUUGUAGAUCUCGACAU